CUGGACUCCAUUUUAAAGGGCAUAUUAGCAUUAUCAAAGUAAUCGUUAAGAUGUGUCUUGGUUUUCUGUUAAAUCUUUUAUAUUUUUAAUUUUUUUUUAUUUUUUAUUUCUACAUCAUAUUAGUGGAAAAAGAUAAUCAAGUGCUGGGAAGAAAAAAAGGAAAUAUUAUUAUCUUUGGGUGCCAUCAGAUGUUAUGCUCUCAAAUUAAAUGUAUUUUCUUCUCCUUUCAGAAGAAUGUGAGGUAACUUCUCCAGCACAGGAUUCACUUGCACAGGGUGCUGGAGAAUCCCUUUUGCAGUCCUAAAUUCAGGGCAGAGACAGCACCAAAAGUCAUGGAGCAGAUGGAAGAGGAAAUUCCCUGGAGCUGGCAGGGCAGGGUGAAGUGGAAUUUUCUACCCCACUGCUGAGGGUUGUUUCAAUAUAGUGCUGCUGUGUUUGGCUCAGAAUGGGCCAUGCUCCACAGACAGAAGAUAAAAGGAGCAGAUUUUCUGCUCCACAUCUCUUCAGAGUGUGGAUCUCUCAGAGUUCCAGAUCUCUUCAGAGCCUUCAGCCUUCUUGGAGCCUGGCCUCAGGCCACUGCACUGUGCUGCUCCAGCUGCACUGUCCAGCCAGCAGAAGGACAGAGAGGGGAGGAACCACGGGGCACUGACUGGAGCACUUGCUUGGCAGCAGGAUGCCGAGUGCCUCGGCCAGGAUCAGCAGAUGUUUGAAUUUCCCCAAAGCUGAAAGAAGCUGUGGAUCUGUAAAAAUAAGCUUCUCGAAGCUGGCGUGUUUCUGCUCAAAAUGGACUGGGUCUGAUUUGCUGUUUGAGUAAAACCAGAGGGAUGGAAAUUUGUAUUUCUGGUUUUUUUCCUUUUUGUCUUGACUGGAAGUUUUAUAGUUCUUUAUCUUAAAUGUUCCUAAGGGUUCAGUUAAGUUGUCUGGUUAUAAACCAGGUGUUUAUCUGAGAGCAUUUUGUGGGUGACAAAUACAAUAUAAAGCUGUUAUAGAUCUUUUCCUUCUGCUCCUUAAACAGGAAUACAACCUGUGUGACACCACAGGACAGCUGAGUGACAAUGCAGGUGAGAACCCUGAUAUUCCACGAGGAAAUGGGUGGAGAGUGGGAUGGAUGCUGGGAGAAAAUCCUUCCCAUCUGAUCACCUUGGCAGGUGUAGUGACCAAAUGGUUUGGGUUUUGCUGGGCUUGGUUUUAGUUAUUUUUAGGACACAGCUGCUUUAAACUUUAAUUUUUUGCCAAUGAUGACUUCUUUUUAGGGAGGAAAAAAAAAAAAAAAGGAGUAAUAUUGAGAUUAGAAUUAACAAAACAUGAGGAAAGAGAAAUCAAUAUUAAUAUAAGCAUCAGAACAUUUUAA
rnacentral:lncRNA from 1 species